GUUUGAACAUUUAUUCGCCUCCUGAGCUUGUACAACAGUCGUGGGAGUUGCUGCAGAAGCAAGCGAAAAGCCAGAUGAGCGCUUCUAAACUUAGAGAGAGGGAGAGCGCCUCAUCUCUUCCAUUUUCCAGGUAUUCCUGAGAUGAUUUAUUGGAGCUCAAAGCUUUGGGAGAGUUGGGGCCUUCCAUUCCCUCCAGUAAAUACUUGUUUUUCUUCCACCGCUGAGGCAAAUGCGGGGUGGCUGAUCACCUGGCAGACAUCUUAGGAAACAGGAGCACCGGUCUGGGAAACUGCUGGCCUGGCCUAACACCUGGCGCUGUGGUGCAGGAAAAUCAGUCUGCGCUGAACAGGAUGGAAUUGGGGCAGGACGUCCAGUGAGGAGGACAUUGAGGCAGUAGAGCAGUUGAUUGCCGAAUGACCACCUACCCUGACUUAAAAGAUCAACCUCAGGGAGGAUUGGAGCUUUCUAGAGUCUCUUGGGACAGCAGAAGCACAGGCCGGGUUGGACUGAAUCUUUAAGUGGACAUGAGGGACAAAGUACCUCCUGUUGGUAAACAUCUCACCACCAACCCACUGUGGUGGCUAAAAUCCCACCUUUAGUCCCAGCAACAUAUGAGCAUGUCACCAGGAGGUCUUCACAGGCCUGUCUGCCACCUGAGUGUAGACAUCUUUUGGCCCUGGAGCCCAGAGAGGCUGAAUGUGGAGAGGGUGGAGAGAGGUCUGUAGUCCUCAGAGAAGACUUGCAGCUUUUUCAGAGCCACCAACCCAUAAAAAAAAAAAUCCCCAAACAGAAAAAUCCUAACUGUGGUGACCAGGUACCUCCUGAGACAUGAAGCCUCCACUUACCUGGACCCUGGAGGCCUCUCCGGGCACAGCUGCCAAUGUUGAUCUUAGAUAAGACCACCAGCAAGUAAACAUCCAC
rnacentral:lncRNA from 1 species